rnacentral:misc_RNA from 1 species
GAAAUGCGAUAAGUAGUGUGAAUUGCAGAAUUCAGUGAAUCAUCGAAUCUUUGAACGCACAUUGCGCCCUUUGGUAUUCCUUAGGGCAUGCCUGUUCGAGCGUCAUCUAAACCUUCAAGCCCUGCUUGGUGUUGGGUGCCUGUCCCGCCUCCGCGCGCGGACUCACCUCAAAUCCAUUGGCGGCCCCCGCGUCGGCCACGAGCGCAGCAGAAACGCGAACUCGUGAGCCCGUUCGGGCGGCUCCCAGAAGCUACACCCACCCAGUUUGACCUCGGAUCAGGUAGGGAUACCCGCUGAACUUAAGC